AUUGAACGCUGGCGGCAGGCCUAACACAUGCAAGUCGAGCGGUAACAGGAAGCAGCUUGCUGCUUCGCUGACGAGUGGCGGACGGGUGAGUCAUGUCUGGGAAGCUGCCGGAUGGAGGGGGAUAACUACUGGAAACGGUAGCUAAUACCGCAUAAUGUCGCAAGACCAAAGAGGGGGACCUUCGGGCCGCGUGCCAUCGGAUGUGCCCAGAUGGGAUUAGCUUGGUGGUGGGGUAACGGCUCACCAAGGCGACGAUCCCUAGCUGGUCUGAGAGGAUGACCAGCCACACUGGAACUGAGACACGGUCCAGACUCCUACGGGAGGCAGCAGUGGGGAAUAUUGCACAAUGGGCGCAAGCCUGAUGCAGCCAUGCCGCGUGUAUGAAGAAGGCCUUCGGGUUGUAAAGUACUUUCAGCGGGGAGGAAGGGAGUAAAGUUAAUACCUUGGCUCAUUGACGUUACCCGCAGAAGAAGCACCGGCUAACUCCGUG
rnacentral:rRNA from 1 species